GAUUCUGAUUUAUAUUUCUAUUAUCUGAAAUUAGGAUUUCAUUUCUGGCUUUUCAAACUUUCAAGGAACCACUAUUUAUCAAGGCAGAGUCAUGGGGUUUCUUAAGCAGCUGUGUGGCUUUGAAACCGUAUGAAGUCCAGCUGUGACUGCAGAUCUAAGUGUUUUAGAAUGAGAAAACUUUCUGAAGACCAUUUCUACUACCUAUCCUUGAAUUCAGCAAUUGGGUGAAACAUUGGAGAUGAUGACUCAGCUUAUUGCAUUCAUGCUUUGCAGUCAGGGUAAACCUUGAUACUAUGAGAAAGGAAGAUGAGCUCUGUGAGCUUAUUGCUUUGAUUCAUGUAUAUAAAUCCUUGUGAGGCUACAGAAAGGGAUGGUAGUAUGACGUUGGAUAUGACUGAUAUUAUGAGAAACUGAGGAAUGGACAGAGAGCUGAGGUUAAGAGAGCUGAGGUCAGCAUCAUCGUUCACCUCUUGGAAAUAUGAUAGUGUAGGACUGCCAAACUGUGAGAAUUAGCAGGAAGAGUACAGCAGUUGGGAGUAGGAGAUAUAAUGAAGCAGCUGCGGUUUUGGCAGCCUCAGAUACAGAUGAGAGAAACUACUCUAGAGGAAGAUGACUUAUGGAAAAGAGAAAAUGGAUUCUUGAUUUACUUUGAGAAGAGAUGAGCUGCUCAACUUACCAUAAAUUCUCAUAGGACCUAACUUUUAAUUUCUGAGUUCUAAAGAAAGGUUAACCAAUCUAUAUUUCCUGAACUGUGUCUAAGCUAUGUUUUCAUUGCAUGGCAAUUGUAGAUUGCAAAGUACAUCUGUAUAAUCCUAAGCAUUUCUUGGCUUGCAGUCUGGAAAAUGUCAGUGGCUUAUAUCUCAUGGGAAAUG
rnacentral:lncRNA from 10 species